AUUGAAUGCUGGCGGAAUGCUUUACACAUGCAAGUCGAACGGCAGCACGGACUUCGGUCUGGUGGCGAGUGGCGAACGGGUGAGUAAUACAUCGGAACGUGCCCAGUCGUGGGGGAUAACGUAGCGAAAGCUACGCUAAUACCGCAUACGAUCUAAGGAUGAAAGCGGGGGACCGUAAGGCCUCGCGCGAUUGGAGCGGCCGAUGGCAGAUUAGGUAGUUGGUGGGGUAAAGGCUCACCAAGCCGACGAUCUGUAGCUGGUCUGAGAGGACGACCAGUCGCACUGGGACUGGGACACGGCCCAGACUCCUACGGGAGGCAGCAGUGGGGAAUUUUGGGCAAUGGGCGCAAGCCUGAUCCAGCCAUUCCGCGUGCAGGAUGAAGGCCCUCGGGUUGUAAACUGCUUUUGUACGGAACGAAAAGGCUCGGCUAAUACCCAGGGUCCAUGACGGUACCGUAAGAAUAAGCACCGGCUAACUACGUGCCAGCAGCCGCCGUAA
rnacentral:rRNA from 1 species